rnacentral:rRNA from 1 species
UACGUAGGGGGCAAGCGUUGUCCGGAUUUCUUGGGCGUAAAGAGCGUGUAGGCGGCCUGGUAGGUCUGCUGUGAAAACUCGAGGCUCAACCUCGAGAUGUCGGCGGAAACCAUCUGGCUAGAGUCCGGAAGAGGAGAGUGGAAUUCCUGGUGUAGCGGUGAAAUGCGCAGAUAUCAGGAAGAACACCUAUGGCGAAGGCAGCUCUCUGGGACGGUACUGACGCUGAGACGCGAAAGCGUGGGGAGCGAACAGG